rnacentral:lncRNA from 1 species
CACAAACUGCCUCUUGUUAUAUCGGUAAGGAUGACAGCAUAAUGACUGAUGAUAGGCGUUGGGUUCCCUCAUUUCUCCUAAUUAGAAUUUUCUCGGCAUUAUCAUGCUUUGUAACUAACCAGCUUACUCCUGACAGUGGCUAAUGUGUUUGGAAUGAUUCUAACUUUUUAUUUUAUCAGGAGGAAGAAGUCUAAUAAGCUGAUCUGUUAUGCAGGCAGUCUACCCUGGCUGGCACAACUCCCUCUCUGUCUUGCUCUUGGGGCUCUGGUCUGGUUGAGCAAGGAGAGCAGAACUUCUUUGAAGGAGAAAAUUCUGCUGACAGUGAUGAGUCACCCAGUUUAAUGAUCCCUAAUGAGGCACACAGUGUAUGUCAGAUACCUCCUUCUAUAUGCAAGGUGCCAUGCUUGAUGCUGGGGAUUCAGGAAAGACUUCUUGGAAGACCCUGACCAAGUCUUGAAAGAUGGAUUGUAUUUAAUUGGCGAAAAGGAGUAAGGAGACAUUUUUGGGGUGGCAGCUGAGUGGUGGAAUCAGACAAAUGUAGGAGAG